rnacentral:rRNA from 1 species
AAACGAUGAACGCGUCGACAGCAGCUGUACCGACUUGGCGCUGGCCCAUAAGUUUGAAGUUUUGGCGUGGCUGGAUCACCUCCUUAAGCCGAAUUCCAGCACACUGGCGGCCGUUACUAGUGGAUCCGAGCUCGGUACCAAGCUUGGCGUAAUCAUGGUCAUAGCUGUUUCCUGUGUGAAAUUGUUAUCCGCUA